UACGAAGGGGGCUAGCGUUGUUCGGAUUUACUGGGCGUAAAGCGCACGUAGGCGGUUUGUUAAGUGAGAGGUGAAAUCCCAGAGCUCAACUCUGGAACUGCCUUCAUACUGGCAAGCUAGAGUCCGGAAGAGGUAAGUGGAACUCCUAGUGUAGAGGUGGAAUUCGUAGAUAUUAGGAAGAACACCAGUGGCGAAGGCGGCUUACUGGUCCGGAACUGACGCUGAGGUGCGAAAGCGUGGGGAGCAAACAGG
rnacentral:rRNA from 1 species